AUUGAACGCUGGCGGAAUGCUUUACACAUGCAAGUCGAACGGCAGCACGGACUUCGGUCUUGUGGCGAGUGGCGAACGGGUGAGUAAUACAUCGGAACGUGCCCAAUCGUGGGGGAUAACGUAGCGAAAUCUACGCUAAUACCGCAUACGACCUAAGGCGGAAAGCGGGGGAUCGCAAGACCCCGCGCGAUGUGAGCGGCCGGUGGCAGAUUAGGUAGUUGGUAGGGUAAAGGCCUACCAAGCCGACGAUCUGUAGCUGGUCUGAGAGGAUGAUCAGCCACACUGGGACUGAGACACGGCCCAGACUCCUACGGGAGGCAGCAGUGGGGAAUUUUGGACAAUGGACGCAAGUCUGAUCCAGCCAUUCUGCGUGCAGGAUGAAGGCCCUCGGGUUGUAAACUGCUUUUGUACAGAACGAAAAGGCUCUGGUUAAUACCUAGGGCUCAUGACGGUACUGUAAGAAUAAGCACCGGCUAACUACGUGCCAGCCGCCGCGGUAA
rnacentral:rRNA from 1 species